GACGAACGCUGGCGGCGUGCCUAAUACAUGCAAGUGGGACGCAAGGGAACACACUGUGCUCGCACACCGUGUUUUCUUGAGUCGCGAACGGGUGAGUAACGCGUAGGUAACCUGCCUAUUAGCGGGGGAUAACUAUUGGAAACGAUAGCUAAUACCGCAUAAUAUUAAUUAUUGCAUGAUAAUUGAUUGAAAGAUGCAAGCGCAUCACUAGUAGAUGGACCUGCGUUGUAUUAGCUAGUUGGUAAGGUAAGAGCUUACCAAGGCGACGAUACAUAGCCGACCUGAGAGGGUGAUCGGCCACACUGGGACUGAGACACGGCCCAGACUCCUACGGGAGGCAGCAGUAGGGAAUCUUCGGCAAUGGACGAAAGUCUGACCGAGCAACGCCGCGUGAGUGAAGAAGGUUUUCGGAUCGUAAAGCUCUGUUGUAAGUCAAGAACGUGUGUGAGAGUGGAAAGUUCACACAGUGACGGAGCUACCAGAAAGGCG
rnacentral:rRNA from 1 species